UCCAAACCGCGUUCGCAUUUCAAAAAAAGCCAAGGCAUGGUUUGAAUGUCCACAACGCCGCGAUGGAAACUUGUUCCUCUUUCUCCGUUCGAAAUCCACCGGAAUCUUAACACGAGCUCAUCGGUCAUCUCCAUCUCGGCUUGGUUUGCAUAGCUACGCAACAGAAACUGGAUCGAGGAUUAAAGCAAAAUGUGGAAGGAAAUUCACCGGAAUCUUAACACAGCGAUAAAAUAGGCUGACCGAAUUGCUAUGCUUGAUUAUGAAUUGUCAUGCCAUUGUUGUGUACAUGUCUACUAUGGGCCUACUCAUUAUUGGGCUGCAACUUGCUGUGCACACAUAGUUGUUCAUGUUGAAUCAUGUGCUGGAAGUUGAAUGACGUGCAUUACUUGCUGCUAAGCAUGGCGUGAAAAGUUCAAUGGCUUUGAUGGAUGACAAUGAUGGUUCUAGGUUGUCAUGGAAUGCAUUGGAAUUGGCUUGCUUGUGGACAACAAAUUGCUUGGAAUUGUUUUGAAUAUGUGUUAUGUUCGUGGCUUAGGAUUUGAAGGCCAUGUCUUGGAAAUCUUGGGACGGUUUGUAUGGAUUUUUAGGUGUGAAAAAUGGCAUGUAUAGGUUAUGUGUAUGGUUGUAUUGAAUUGGGAAAUUAACUUGUACAUGGUCGAAUUUGUAAUGUUAGUGGAAGAUGGCUUGAAGAAUCAUGACUUGGCCUUAAAAAUUGUAAUGGUUUAUGUUUUGAAAUGUUAGGUUUUGGUUAUGUAUUUGAAAUUGGAAUUGGUUCAUGUAUGUUCAUGCUUGAAAAUGACACAUUUGAAAUGCAUUGAUUUGAAUUUCUUUUGUAGAAAA